rnacentral:rRNA from 1 species
UUCUGGCUCAGAUUGAACGCUGGCGGCGUGCUUAACACAUGCAAGUCGAACGCGAAAGGGACUUCGGUCCUGAGUAAAGUGGCGCACGGGUGAGUAACGCGUGGAUAAUCUGCCCUUAUGAUCGGGAUAACAGUUGGAAACGGCUGCUAAUACCGGAUACGCUACAAAAUGUAACUUUUUUGGAAGGAAAGAUGGCCUCUGCUUGCAUGCUAUCACGUAAGGAUGAGUCCGCGUCCCAUUAGCUUGUUGGCGGGGUAACGGCCCACCAAGGCAACGAUGGGUAGCCGAUUUGAGAGGAUGAUCGGCCACACUGGAACUGAAACACGGUCCAGACUCCUACGGGAGGCAGCAGUGGGGAAUAUUGCGCAAUGGGCGAAAGCCUGACGCAGCGACGCCGCGUGAGGGAAUGAAGGUUUUCGGAUCGUAAACCUCUGUCAGAAGGGAAGAAACUACGUUGUGCUAAUCAGCAGCGUACUGACGGUACCUUCAAAGGAAGCACCGGCUAACUCCGUGCCAGCCGCCGC